ACGGCAGGAGCUCGAGAGGCAGAGCGCUGGUCUCCAAAACCAGAAGGUGCGGGUUCGAGCCCCGCCUGCCGUGCCA
rnacentral:tRNA from 1 species